CUUUUGGCUGACCUGAAGAUCUGGAAAGUGAUAUUUAAAUUCAAGUUCUUUCUAGCUUUCUACUGUAAAACUAUAAGACUUGGGAGCAGAAGUAGACGAUUUGGCCCAUCGAGUCCGCUAUACCAUUCAGUGCAAUCGUGGCUAAUGUGAUGACCCUUUAGAGACGACUACAGUUGAAACAAGUGAAGGUGAUGUUCUGAUGUCUAAGAUCAGCCAUGGAAGAGGAGGUCACCCAGUCCCAGAGACAGGUGCUGUGCUACCCCUGGCCCUGGGACUUGCCAUCACUGCCCUGCUCCUGCUGAUGAUUGGCUGUCGGCUGCAGCUGGUGAGGCACAAACUGAAGAAGCUCCGACCUAUCACGUCGGAGGAGUCAGACUACCUGAUAAAUGGCAUGUACCUGUGAGCUGGGAACGGUGCCUCUUGAAUAACAAUCACUGUAGCAGCGUGCUUCUCAAUGUAAAACAAAUGAAUGUGCUUGUGUGUGUUUGUCCGAAUCAAUAUGUGGAGCGCAGUUGAAUCCUUUUGAUUUUAUUACUUCCCAGUCACACCGGCAAAUCUGGCAAGUGUUGGGUGUACUUUUUAAAAAAAAAAACAAUUUUCAUACCAAGCCAGCACUGUUGCCAUAAUGAUGUACUGCCCCAGGGCCGUCUGCAAGGUUGGUGGCUGAUCAAGCGAUUCUUAUUCUCCGCCUUGCUAUGAAAGUUGACUUCUGCUCCAAUCUCAUGUGCUCAAUGGGGUUUGUGCUGUUUUGAUAAGAAGUUCGAACAUCCUAUCUAAUGGUUCAGUUAGGUGCCCCUGCAGUGGGUUGGCACUGAUGAAUCUUUAACUGCCCCCACCAUAAGCUGCAUUUUCUCCCUGCCUGGGGACAGGUUUCUGCGUCCCCUUUUUACUCAACCUCUGAGUAAUUGCCACUGCCCGCAUCCAACAAUUUAAAUGUAAAUUUGUGCCAGUGUUUGUUCCACUUUCUGGACCACUUAUCCUGGAGACAGAUAAUAACAGCCAGAAAGUCAGCAGCAAAAUUGCAGGAUAUCGGGGAUAAAAUGAUGAUGAAAUUCAAAUCGCACACAAUUGGGAGAAAUUCCUAGCCUAGAAGGAACGCAGUCAGCCUAUUGAGUGUGUUAGUUUAGUACAUUAUAUUAUUACAAACUGUUAAACUUUAUAAAAUUGGAACAAUUGCCUUGUCAAAGAUUCCACUGAAUACCAACAGUUCUUGACUCCUGGUUCAUCUCUAAUAAAUGGCAUUUACCCAGUGUGA